AACGAACGCUGGCGGCAUGCCUAACACAUGCAAGUCGAACGAGACCUUCGUGCCUAGUGGCGCACGGGUGCGUAACGCGUGGGAACCUGCCCUUAGGUUCGGAAUAACACCCCGAAAGGGGUGCUAGUACCGGAUAAUAUCUUCGGACCAAAGAUUUAUCGCGUUUGGAUGGGCCCGCGUUGGUUUAGCGAGUUGUGAGGGUAAACGCCUACCAAGGCGACGAUCCAUAGCUGGUUUGAGAGGAUGAUCAGCCACACUGGGACUGAGACACGGCCCAGACUCCUACGGGAGGCAGCAGUGGGGGAUAUUGGACAAUGGGCGAGAGCCUGAUCCAGCAAUGCCGCGUGAGUGAUGAAGGCCUUAGGGUUGUAAAGCUCUUUUAACCGGGAUGAUAAUGACAGUACCGGGAUAAUAAGCACCGGCUAACUCCGUG
rnacentral:rRNA from 1 species